rnacentral:lncRNA from 1 species
UUUGAAUAAAAAUGGAAAUUUGGCUAAUUUACCCUAAUAAAUACAAAAAAAUAGUAUAGUUGGAGAAAAAGAGGAACCAUAAACGACUCAAACGAAUUGAAGAGUAGAUUGUUCAAACUUGAUUUGAAAACUUAAUGAGGUUUAAAAAUAUAUUUGAGUUUGACUUGUUUAUUUAGCAAAUCAAACUCAAACGAUUUUUAAUCGAGUGUGAUCUGAACAUAUGUAGCUUGAAUUUUUUUUACACAUUAUAAAGCCGAGCAGGAGAUUGUUUAAAUUUGAUUUUAAAUCUUAAAAAACUUAAAAAUUAUAUUCA